rnacentral:misc_RNA from 1 species
AAGUCGUAACAAGGUUUCCGUAGGUGAACCUGCGGAAGGAUCAUUAACAAAUUCCAAAACACGUGUUGAUCAUCUGACCUUGAGUGUCGAGGCCGCAGUUCCGCUGUGUGUCUUGCCUCAGGGGAGGGUGAUCAAUUACAAACACACACUUUGAUAGACAAUACAAGGAGAUUAUCUAAUUAAUCGUUAAACAACUUUUAACAAUGGAUCUCUUGGCUCUU